rnacentral:rRNA from 1 species
UACAGAGGGUGCAAGCGUUAAUCGGAAUUACUGGGCGUAAAGCGCACGUAGGCGGUUUUUUAAGUCAGAUGUGAAAGCCCCGGGCUCAACCUGGGAAUUGCAUUUGAAACUGGGGAACUAGAGUGUGUGAGAGGGGGGUAGAAUUCCAAGUGUAGCGGUGAAAUGCGUAGAGAUUUGGAGCAAUACCAGUGGCGAAGGCGGCCCCCUGGCACAACACUGACGCUCAGGUGCGAAAGCGUGGGGAGCAAACAGG